rnacentral:rRNA from 1 species
UACAGAGGGUGCAAACGUUGCUCGGAAUUAUUGGGCGUAAAGCGCGUGUAGGCGGCCUGUUAAGUCGGCUGUGAAAUCCCUCGGCUUAACCGAGGAACUGCGUCCGAUACUGGAAGGCUUGAAUCCGGGAGAGGGAUGUGGAAUUCCAGGUGUAGCGGUGAAAUGCGUAGAUAUCUGGAGGAACACCGGUGGCGAAGGCGGCAUCCUGGACCGGCAUUGACGCUGAGGCGCGAAAGCUAGGGGAGCAAACGGG